GGGAAACCUGUAGAAAUAUCACCGCUGGAAAUUAUACGCACGCCUGCCUUAGUCGCCCAAGUUACGUGCUAUAUGUGGAUGAUGACCACAAGGACACCGUGCCGCCAAAGUGCAAGGACGAGUACGACAACAGAAGAGACAAAAUACAUAGACCACACGACUACAAUAUAUACACAGAAGAUUGCAAAACCUAUUAGACAUUAUCGAAUCACUUAUGAGCCACUGCUGUCUUAUACAAAAACUAGGCUUCUUUCCCGGCAACAAUAUUUCAAA